rnacentral:rRNA from 1 species
UGACGUGCUUGCACUGAUUUCACAAUGAAGCGAGUGGCGAACUGGUGAGUAACACGUGGGAAAUCUGCCCAGAAGCAGGGGAUAACACUUGGAAACAGGUGCUAAUACCGUAUAACAACAAAAUCCGCAUGGAUUUUGUUUGAAAGGUGGCUUCGGCUAUCACUUCUGGAUGAUCCCGCGGCGUAUUAGUUAGUUGGUGAGGUAAAGGCCCACCAAGACGAUGAUACGUAGCCGACCUGAGAGGGUAAUCGGCCACAUUGGGACUGAGACACGGCCCAAACUCCUACGGGAGGCAGCAGUAGGGAAUCUUCCACAAUGGACGAAAGUCUGAUGGAGCAAUGCCGCGUGAGUGAAGAAGGGUUUCGGCUCGUAAAACUCUGUUGUUAAAGAAGAACACCUUUGAGAGUAACUGUUCAAGGGUUGACGGUAUUUAACCAGAAAGCCACGGCUAACUACGUGCCAGCAGCCGCGGUAAUACGUAGGUGGCAAGCGUUGUCCGGAUUUAUUGGGCGUAAAGCGAGCGCAGGCGGUUUUUUAAGUCUGAUGUGAAAGCCUUCGGCUUAACCGGAGAAGUGCAUCGGAAACUGGGAGACUUGAGUGCAGAAGAGGACAGUGGAACUCCAUGUGUAGCGGUGGAAUGCGUAGAUAUAUGGAAGAACACCAGUGGCGAAGGCGGCUGUCUAGUCUGUAACUGACGCUGAGGCUCGAAAGCAUGGGUAGCGAACAGGAUUAGAUACCCUGGUAGUCCAUGCCGUAAACGAUGAGUGCUAAGUGUUGGAGGGUUUCCGCCCUUCAGUGCUGCAGCUAACGCAUUAAGCACUCCGCCUGGGGAGUACRACCGCAAGGUUGAAACUCAAAGGAAUUGACGGGGNCCCGCACAAGCGGUGGAGCAUGUGGUUAAUUCGAAGCUACGCAAGAACCUUACCAAGUCUUGACAUCU